CUUCAUUUUUGGGUCACACUUGAUACCUUCACAGUAAAAAGUGACUAAAGCCUUGAAAUAUAACUGUUUUUCAUGAAAGUAAAUGUAAU